GAGAGAGAGCGACGGCCAUCAUAGAACAGCGAAGGCAGUCGAUCGGCCUGCGGUCCGCUUCGGCAUUCGCAGGCCGCAGGCGGGAGGCUAGAGCCCCCAGGCGCACCUCGCCCCAACCGCCCGCGGCUCGGGCAGCUCUGCAGAGACGUCGUGGCGGCAGGGCCAGCACCCAUUGGUCCGCCACAGCCCUCCGCCCUCCCCCUCGCCACGCUUAUUGGCCGGAGCGGCGGCGCUCGCCGGGCAGUUGCAGUGGUGCAGAAUGGCUGACCUCAGUCUUGCAGAUGCAUUAACAGAACCAUCUCCAGACAUUGAGGGAGAGAUAAAGCGGGACUUCAUUGCCACACUAGAGGCAGAGGCCUUUGAUGAUGUUGUGGGAGAAACUGUUGGAAAAACAGACUAUAUUCCUCUCCUGGAUGUUGAUGAGAAAACCGGGAACUCAGAGUCAAAGAAGAAACCGUGCUCAGAAACUAGCCAGAUUGAAGGUA
rnacentral:lncRNA from 1 species